rnacentral:rRNA from 1 species
UACGAGGGGGGCAAGCGUUGUUCAGAAUUAUUGGGCGUAAAGGGCGCGUAGGCGGUUUGACAAGUCUGAUGUGAAAUCUAUGGGCUCAACCCAUAGCCUGCAUUAGAAACUGUCGGGCUUGAGUAUGGGAGAGGUGAGUGGAAUUUCCGGUGUAGCGGUGAAAUGCGUAGAUAUCGGAAGGAACACCUGUGGCGAAAAGCGGCUCACUGGACCAUAACUGACGCUGAGGCGCGAAAAGCUAGGG